rnacentral:rRNA from 1 species
CGGACGACGCUGGCGGCGUGCUUAACACAUGCAAGUCGAACGGUGACGAGGAGCUUGCUCCUCUGAUCAGUGGCGAACGGGUGAGUAACACGUGAGCAACCUGCCCCAGACUCUGGGAUAACAGUUGGAAACAGCUGCUAAUACCGGAUACGAGACGGAGAGGCAUCUCUACCGUCUGGAAAGUUUUUCGGUCUGGGAUGGACUCGCGGCCUAUCAGCUAGUUGGUGAGGUAAUGGCUCACCAAGGCGACGACGGGUAGCCGGCCUGAGAGGGCGACCGGCCACACUGGGACUGAGACACGGCCCAGACUCCUACGGGAGGCAGCAGUGGGGAAUAUUGCGCAAUGAGCGAAAGCUUGACGCAGCAACGCCGCGUGGGCGACGAAGGUCUUCGGAUCGUAAAGCCCUUUUCUAGAGGAAGAGGAAGGACAGUACUCUGGGAAUAAGUCUCGGCUAACUACGUG